AAACUAACAAGGAUUCCCCUAGUAGCGGCGAGCGAAGCGGGAAGAGCUCAAAUUUAUAAUCUGGCACCUUCGGUGUCCGAGUUGUAAUCUCUAGAAAUGUUUUCCGCGUUGGACCGCACACAAGUCUGUUGGAAUACAGCGGCAUAGUGGUGAGACCCCCGUAUAUGGUGCGGACGCCCAGCGCUUUGUGAUACAUUUUCGAAGAGUCGAGUUGUUUGGGAAUGCAGCUCAAAUUGGGUGGUAAAUUCCAUCUAAAGCUAAAUAUUGGCGAGAGACCGAUAGCGAACAAGUACCGUGAGGGAAAGAUGAAAAGCACUUUGGAAAGAGAGUUAACAGUACGUGAAAUUGUUGGAAGGGAAACGCUUGAAGUCAGACUUGCUUGCCGAGCAAUCGGUUUGCAGGCCAGCAUCAGUUUUCCGGGAUGGAUAAUGGUAGAGAGAAGGUAGCAGUUUCGGCUGUGUUAUAGCUCUCUGCUGGAUACAUCUUGGGGGACUGAGGAACGCAGUGUGCCUUUGGCGGGGGUUUCGACCUCUUCACACUUAGGAUGCUGGUGGAAUGGCUUUAAACGAC
rnacentral:rRNA from 3 species